rnacentral:lncRNA from 1 species
CCCACUCGCCUGAGGGCAGGCGUCCACAUUUCUCCAGGGCUGAGCUGGAGACACUUGCUCUGUGGUGCAUGGGCUGGACCAUGAAGUAUGAUCUCGGUGCCUUCUCCCUCAAGGAUUCCUCUUGGAAGGGCGUCCACCCAGACUUUGUAAAUUCUCAGACCUCCCAGUGGAGUGUGCAUAGGGAUCCCAAGCGACUGACUCACCUCCUAGGCUCAGCCGUGGACUCUGGGCUUCUCAGCAAAGACACGUGGCCAUCGGGAGACAAGUCCGGAGCCCUGUGGACAGGUGGCUGGCAUGCACUUUGCCCGGGGGGCCAGGCCCUCCUGCGCGGCUCCAGUGUCCUGAGCCCCGCCGAUACUGCAGAUGCCUAGACACCCGGCAAAGAAACCAGCCCCGGGACCCAGGGAAGAAGCGGAGCGAGCAGUUUCGGGGCCAGCAGGCGAUAGUUAAAGAGAGGGCAGCGGCUAGGUGAGAACAGUGACCGAAUGCAACAUGGUAAUAAUAGCUGGG